UACGAAGGGUGCAACCGUUGCUCGGAAUUAUUGGGCGUAAAGCGCACGUAGGCGGCUUUGCAAGUCGGAUGUGAAAUCCCUCGGCUCAACCAAGGAAGUGCAUCCGAAACUGCAGAGCUUGAGUACCCAAGAGGAUCGCGGAAUUCCCGGUGUAGAGGUGAAAUUCGUAGAUAUCGGGAGGAACACCAGUGGCGAAGGCGGCGAUCUGGGUGGAUACUGACGCUGAGGUGCGAAAGCGUGGGGAGCAAACAGG
rnacentral:rRNA from 1 species